rnacentral:rRNA from 1 species
UACGAGGGGGGCAAGCGUUGUUCGGAAUUAUUGGGCGUAAAGGGUGCGUAGGCUGUGCGGUAAGUCACCUGUGAAAACUCUGGGCUCAACCCAGAGCCUGCAGGCGAAACUGCCGUGCUGGAGUAUGGGAGAGGAGCGCGGAAUUCCCGGUGUAGCGGUGAAAUGCGUAGAGAUCGGGAGGAAGGCCGGUGGCGAAGGCGGCGCUCUGGAACGUUUCUGACGCUGAGGCUCGAAAGCGUGGGGAGCAAACAGG